CAGCACCUCAAGUGGUCAGGAUGAUUAUUGGGCCUAAAGCACCCGUAGCCGGCGCUGUAAGUUUUCGGUUAAAUCUGUACGCUCAACGUACAGGCUGCCGGGAAUACUGCAGCGCUAGGGAGUGGGAGAGGUAGACGGUACUCGGUAGGAAGGGGUAAAAUCCUUUGAUCUAUUGAUGACCACCUGUGGCGAAGGCGGUCUACCAGAACACGUCCGACGGUGAGGGACGAAAGCUGGGGGCACGAACCGGAUUAGAUACCCGAGUAGUCC
rnacentral:rRNA from 1 species